rnacentral:rRNA from 1 species
CUACCUUCUGAAGAACCACGAUGUCAUUAAUUUGGUGUCGCGGGGAAUCAGGACUGUUACUUUGAAAAAAUUAGAGUGUUUAAAGCAGGCUCGCGCUUGAAUACAUUAGCAUGGAAUAAUGAAAUAGGACGUUGACCCUAUUUUGUUGGUUUCUAGGAUUGACGUAAUGAUUAAUAGGGAUAGUUGGGA